rnacentral:lncRNA from 1 species
AGGAAAGAAUAUACUCUGGAGGUUCCUAUAAUUCAAAGAAAAUGGACUGGGAUAACAUUUGGGUUUGCAUGCCACCAAAAUCCUCUCGAGAAGGACAGCCAGGUACACAAAGCAUUUAACAUUGUGACAUUGAAGUGUUGGAAGAAUAAUUAAAAUAAAAAUCUAAUAAUGGUUUUUUUUAGAAAUUGCUAAACGACUAUGUUUGAUCCAGGGACGAGAAAGGGAAAAGCUGUUUUCAUUCUCUUGGCAUCUGAGGUGUAACUGCUUUACUGCUAUAAAUACCAUAUUUUAAUUGUGUGUCAUCACUUCUUAGCAUCAUUGCUGGAAAGUUCAUUCUAAUAUUAAUGCCUGAAGCUGAGUUUCUGCUUAAAGAAAGAAUCCGGUAAAAGAGGAAUUUCAUAUAAUUAGCUAGUUUGAUGUUUUCUUCCAGCUUUUUCUUUACAGCGUUUUGUUUUUGUAUUUUGUUGUACUUUGUUUUGAAAGUAGGUUGCAAUUUUGUAAAAAAAAAAACAAAACAAAAAGAAAACAAAAAAAACAUAGGAAAUUAGCCAAUUAACCUGUCUUAAAAAUAUUUUUUCAGGCAUCUUUGGAAGAUAAGCAAGGCCUAAAGAAAUGAUUUCUCAACAUGAGAUACUAAAACUUAGAUCACUUUGGAGGGUAGUUUACAUGUCUCCCUUGGUUAAGAAUUAGGCCCCUCUUGUCCACAAGCACUGUCAGAGGCACAAGGAAAANNNNNNNNNNNNNNNNNNNNNNNNNNNNNNNNNNNCCCCGUUUCCCCAACCUCUGCAUUGUGCUCUGUCCUGCUCAGCUCUUAAGAAAACCAAAGAAUCAAGCCCUGGGGGGGCUUCAUACUCCAGACUUAAGUUCAUUUUGUGCCCCAGCCCCCUUCACCUGCUCCUCUCUCCACCUCUCGGUUGCUGCGCCUAAUUUCAUUUCUAUUUUCUAAAUGCUUUCACUUGGAGGCCUCCACAAUGACUUCAUUCUGGCACCUCAGCUGCUGCUCUUUCGCCUCUCGGCUCAUGCGAAUACCUCUUGAGCUCCAAGACAGCUGUGUCAGGAGGAGAGUUUCCUUUGAGGGUGGGAAGAAAGGUCUCCUUCUGCAAGGGUGCCGGACAAGCAAACGUGGCUGUCCUCCAGACAGCGGGGUGCUCAGAGCGCCCCGACUAAAGACAGGUGUAGACAGGUACGUGGGCAGCGUGUGCUAGGACUGCAGCCAGCAUUUCACCAUGUACAGUCAUCACGUCUCCGUGAACAGGGAGAACCAGGCUGGGGAUACAUUUGGUGAACUGGUUAGAAAAAAAUGAUCGUCAGUUAAAGGUACAACAACAGUUGGUUGAAACCUGGCUAUGUUCGGUACAUUCUGAUGAGAUAAAAGACCUGCCGUAGUUGAUGUGCUAAUAAGCCUAUGCGACCCCUCAUUCUUUUCUUCUCGUGCCACUUAUUUGCCCAUGACUAUAACAAAAUAGCCACACAUCUCCCCUUCUAAGAUUGUGUGCAAAGAAGGAUUCGACCUCAGUGCAGCCCCAGCUAAGAAGAAACUUUCUCUUCUCGCUCUUCUCUGAGCAUAAUUCAAAGACAACUCAAAUAGAAAAGCAAUUUGUGUGCAAUUAGGCUCCAAAAUUUAUUAGGUGUAGGUGAACCAUGCAAUGCGAUUAAGGAGGCUGCUGUGAGUAUAUUAUUCCCUUCAUGUACUAAAUUCCAUAAGGACAGGAAAGAGAUCUAUCUAUCAACAACUGUUAGCCUGUAGCUCUGAAAGGUGGCUGCAUUUUGUGGACUGUCAGCAAAUACUUGGUGGGCAUGACUCAGUCUGUAUUAGCAAUGAAACUUGGUUCAACAACGCCCCAGAAAUGCUGUGUGACCUGCGAGGAGUCGCAUUCCUGGGUCCUGUAAUGCUCAUGGGGCAUGCUUCAAAGCACAAGGCUUCGAAUAAUAGGGACUAGCAUCACAUAAGCCUGGAGUUGAGUUCCACAUCAGUACCUUCUAGUUUUCUGACCCAGAUGAGUUUCUUGAUCUCCUUGAGCCUCAUGCUCCUCGUGGGUAAUAUGGAAGGGGAAAAAAAUUUAAGUUAGCUGUGCAGAUUGAGUGUGUGGUGCCCACACCUAGUAAAUGCUCAGCUAAUGGUCACUACUUCUAUUAUCAUUAUUAUUUUUACUAGUUAUACUACUUUUAGGAUUGUUCUUAUUAUUAAUGACAUUAAUGUCAUUAAUGGUCACUAAUGGUCAUUAAUGGUCACUACUUCUAUUAUUAUUAUUUUUACAAGUAAUACUACUUUUAGGAUUGUUCUUCUUAUUAUUAAUGACAUUAAUCUUUGGGUGAAAUGUCCAGAAUUUUUCCUCAUAGAGAACUUAGGUAGUGGGGAUCAGGAGAUACACACGUGAGGUAGUGUUUUUGCUAUGAAAUGAAGAGGUGGAAACCUCGAGUUUUAAGGGUGAUUCACCGGAAGCCUCUGUACCAUCACAAAGUGUCCGUAAACACUUUUUGUGGUUAAAUCUACCAUGUUGCAGAAGGUAAAAAUAAUUUUAAAUCCAAACAAACGGUACUGCUUGUAUCUAACCAAUGCCAGACAUUCAGGUAAUAUAGGAAAACAAGUCACCUGGAAGAUAGAUAUUUUUAUCCUCCCUGCCAAGAAUUCAAAUGUCCAGCUAAUAAAACUGGCCUUUUCACUUGUCUUUGGGGCACCUGGGAGUAUGAAAAGCCAUUUUGUGAGUGGCUUUUUCCGUUGCUGGUAGCAGUGGUCGUUGAUUACAGGAUACAAUUUGAAACUCCUGAAGGUUGUGAGGCAUGGCAUGGAUCAGGACGAAGGCUUUCUAUAAGAAAAGCCAUCUUGCUGGUUGAAAAGCCCUAGUGAGCUGCCAGGCCAUCUUUGUGGAGCCGGAACAUCGUAAGAAAGCCUGCGGUUGGGUCUGUAGGCCAUUAAAAAGUUUCAGCCUCACUACUAAACAAGAGAAAAGAGUCUUGCGUUUGCCUCAAAAACACACGCCCCUCACAGACAGAAAAGUCAGAUGUUAAUUAAGCCUUUGAAGGGUUAGAGUGGAUCAUGCCAUUCCAUAUCAAAAAGUCAGUUUUGACUUCUAAUUGCAUGCCAAACCAACCAACCAACCAACCAACCAACCAACCUGCAAAUGUAUUUGCUAACAAAGGUUCUUAUUGCACACAAGUCGCAUUUAAAGUAAAAAGACAAAUCUUUUUUUCUUUGUAUUUGGAAUGGUUCGAAGCCCAACAGAGCCUUCAUUGAGUCUAUAUUUGUAUGUUCCAUUUACUUUUUACCUUUCCUGUGGAUUUCCUUCUUCAUGAAACCAUCCCUCAAAGGAAAUGCUGACAAUAAAUUAAUGUCCAUAACUUAGUAUAUUUUAUGGUGUUUCAUUUUAAGUAUUCACACUUGGAUUCAAGUGCAGCAUCCUUUACCUUUGCUCAGCAUAUAGUAGAGGCUAAAUAAAUAGCAAUUAAAAGAGACAGGCUGUCUAAAGUUACAGCAAUAUUUCCCCAGAUUUUCUUUUCAUUCUGUCAUUCUUCUGUGAAGUUCGUGUAAUUUGUCCUCAAAUGGGCAAGAUUUGGGAUUGUUCGCAGUCACAAGUGAGAGAACAAAAUAAGAGAUUUUCAUUUGUAAGAUUGCCUUUCUCUUAUCUAUUGGUCUUGCCUCCCAGACUGUCUGUCUGUCUCUGGAAAGCAAAGUCAAUAAAAAUGAUUAGAGCUGGCAUCUCACAAAUGUACACCCUUAAACCAUGAAGCAGUAAUGCUGUGCAGGAAAUAUUUUUCUGACCUUUUCAAAUUGCAUCCAACUGUCUCGGGAAUUUCUCAGUGACUAGAGGUAAUAAGGUUCAAUCCGUUUUACUGGCUGGCUUCAAAUUUAGUUCCUCCACAUCUCUAACUUAUCUAUUCUUUGCAUCUUGGCUCUGGCAUCCAUUCAGCACAGAAAUCCAUGCAUCUAAUCUUUUCUCCCCCUUCUCAGGUUUUGCUAAAGGAUCACACUGUGGAAUCUACAACCGCGACAAACUUCUGCACUUACUGCCCCUUGAAAAACAAAAUAUUGGCAUGGGAAGGUUAGUGGGCAUGUUGUCUUUUCGGAAGCCCUUGUUGAAUGUAAUUAGCUUGUAGAUUUCAUCCCUGUCCUACACCACAGUUUUUACCUAUGUGAUUUAUGCCUCAGUAAUCUUCAUUGUGUGAAACUUUUCCAACUUAACUAUAUCACAGGCACCCUGUAGAAUAUUAAAGGGGCAAACCUAUGCGCAUUUCUUUUGUGUUAAAUUGAUUUUGAUUUUUUUUUUCUGCGAGUCCAUACGCAAUGGGCAUACUCUUCACCAGCAACCUGCACCCGCCCCCAGUAAGGACGGGAGUCAUCCAAGUGUGACGCGCUAAAAGGCAGCUGGGCCGCCCCAUUCGUCACCAUGUUCCCUGACGGAGAACAGAAAACAGAAGCUGGGGACACGUUUCUUGACCUCACAAAAGUGUUGGAUGUCAGGAAGCCUUGACAAAGAGUUCAGAAAUCUUGUCUUACUUUUCAUAUUUAGAGCAUCUCUGUGCUGUGAUUCUGGGGAGCUACCAGAGUUUCCUCGUUCCUCCAGAUUCAACACACACUGUUGUUCCCACCCAUCGCCUGCACCCUGCCUUCUGCAGCGGUGAUUAGAAUCUUGGUCCUGUGGUCAGUGGGGCUUGGAGCCUCUUUCUGGAGCCUCUCUCUGUUCAUGGGCAAAUAGCCACCAGGAGGAAGAAAUCUUUUUGAAGUUGCCCUUCUAAGAGUCUGUGUUUGCUUGUACACUAAUUGUCAGGUUUGAUCAUCAGAAGAUAAUUGGCUUUAUAGAAAUGAGAUCAUUUCAAACAACUCUAUUCAGAAAAAAAGUUUAAAACAAAAAGAAAAUAAGUUUAGAGGGAAGAGGAUGAAGAACAGGCUGGUUUCUUUCACUCACGUGCAGCAAUGUAUUUUUUUUCUUAAAGUGAGUAGACUUAUGCAAAAGCUCAUCUUCAUAAUAUAGCCAAUUUUUUUUUUCAUUUGACAAAACAAAAAUAAUGGAGUUGGGGACAGUUAAAAGAAAAGAUACAAAGUAUGUUUAAGAAUGGGUGUUUUUUGAAGUUGCUAUUUUGUCAUAUGAAACUCAAUCCAUCUUGCUACUAGAUGUUGACCUGGAAAGGGACAACAGUCCUCAUGUUAUCCCUUUACAGCCUGGGUGUGGGUAGCUGGUAUUUUGUUCAGUAAAGACGAGGUAUUCGGGCAGUUUUGCAAAGUCACACUUACCCACUGUUUGCCGUGCAGGGCAGUGUUUUUACCACCAGCCGGGGCAGAGUGAGGGCUUCCCGGGUGACAGUCGCUUGAAUGGAACUGUGUGGUGCUCCUGAUGGUGGUUCAUGUAGGUGCGCAUACGCCUGUGUGCACGCGUGCAAGCGUGUGUGAGGUGCGCAAGGUGUGCACACGAACUUGAGUGUGGCAUCGGAAGACACCAAGCAGCUCCAAAACCAAGUGGCCUCUCAGCUCUGCCUGGGGACCUCAGGGUUCUCAGUGGAUUGCAGACUUUGCUCUGCCCAGGAACCCUCCCAGAACAGAGGGGGCUCGGCCUGCGGGCUCAGAUUAUUGUACAGUUGGCACCUCCUGUUUCCCGUUUCUAAGAUCUUUCCUACUGGGGCGCCUGGGUGGCGCAGUCGGUUAAGGUCCGACUUCAGCCAGGUCACGAUCUCGCAGUCCGUGAGUUCGAGCCCCGCGUCAGGCUCUGGGCUGAUGGCUCAGAGCCUGGAGCCUGUUUCCGAUUCUGUGUCUCCCUCUCUCUCUGCCCCUCCCCUGUUCAUGCUCUGUCUCUCUCUGUCCCCCCAAAAAAAUAAAUUAAAACGUUGAAGAAAAAAAAAACAAAAUUUAAGAUCUUUCCUACCGUCGGGACCUGGAGGUAGAACAAAAUCGGUGUCCAGCCCUUCCACUGCAAGUGUAAAGUGACCUGAAUGUGGUGGGACAAAGGCAUGAGGCAGCGCGGGGCUCCAUUUGCCAUGGCUUGUUUUGUUUUGCUGGGUAGUCUUAGAUUUGGACCGCGAUUGGGGAACGAAGGGGGAAUUGCCAGGUGGAGAGGGUAAGGGGGAUGAGAGGCCUGAUUAGCAGUGCGGUGGAGACUAAUUACUAGUCCUUCCUUAUUGGGUAACUGCUAUUUCCUGGGUGUGGCCUGCAUCGCUCAAAACCACCCUUGCUCUUCCGAGGCCCCCCGGGAAGACGGGUUAACUACUCGGUUUAGCGGGGGUGGGGGUGGGGGCGCAAAGUGAGGCGUGAGACCGUUGAAACGGAGUUUGUUUCUGAGCAGCAGGGCCUUUAUGUGAAGAGAGUUGUUUUUACACGGAAAGGAAGGAAAUAACUCGUACCCAGUGGGCUUUGACCUUUCCUCUUCCUCUUUCCCCCUCCUCUGUCACCUCCUUCCUCCUCUCGCAGGGCUUCUCCUCCUUUUUGUUUUCUCAAAGAGAGAAUCAAAGGAGACCCAGCUGCUGAAACGCCAUCCCACUGUGCCUCCUGCGACAGCGCAUUCUUCUUUUGGUGCUUGCUGUUCAGCUACUUACUUGUUUUGAAAGUUUGAUAAAGGGCGCCGAGUUCUGCCUCUAGUGGCUUCUAUCAUUUUCACAUAAGGUAAUUUUUAUUACCUUAAAAUAGUACUACAGACGGCAGAAGAUGGCGAUUACAGGCUGUCCUCACAAGUUCACAUUCUGCCCCGCCUAAUCUGCCCUUCGUUCGUCCGAGUUAAUGAUUUAUCGGGGUGAAAGAAUGGAUUGAGGGAGGCAGAGACGCAAAGGUAUUUUUGUGAGUAGCCCAGCAAAACCUGUUUCUCCAAAUAUUAUGUUUCUAAAUCAGGAUUGAACUCCUUCAAUUAAGGUCUCUUUUCUUCUUCUAUUUGCCUCACAUAUCAAUAUUACAAAAAUAAACAUGUAUGAUUGCCGAAGCAGGCUUGUUAUUGUGGCCUUGGCUCGAUGGAGAUGUCGAUGCCCGAGGAUUCAAUUUCGCUCUUACAGUGAUAACUAAUACGCUCCAAUUUGUUUCUCAGGGAAGGAGCUUGGUUAUUUAUUCCAGGUAAACUGGGCUGCUUCUGUUGCCACAGCAUCGAGUCGUCCCUGAAACUGAGGCUGGCCACCUGAUGGGGCCUCCUUUGUUCCCAGGCAUAUCAGAAGACAGAAAGGACUCAAAUCUUCAGCAGAGUGGUAGAAUCUCAAAAGCUCAGUCACCACCGUUCACUGCAAAUAUAUCUCUUCCUAGAGUGGGUGUUCUGGAAAUUCAGACUGCAUCUCACUUGCAAUAAAUAGCCCCCUUUAAAAAUUUCAAACAGAACCCCACAGGAAAAGCAGCAUGGCUUCAGAUGGAAGGAUGAUUUCAAGCUCUCUCUCUCUCUUUCUCUGAGGCCUCUUGAAUAUGCAUGUGAUCCCAGCCCAGAGUUCUUCCAGGAAAAUCUUUAUGUUUGCACAGGUCUCCUUCGAUUCCCACUAUCAUCCUUAUUGGAAAUAAAUCUAAAUAAGUCAAAAUAAUCUAAACAAGGAUAAAUUGUUCCGAAACUAUCUGCCACACACAGUUCAUCUCCCACACUUUGCUUUCCAUUACUGCUGAAGGAAGGGAAAUGAUGGCAUCAGCUUUAAAUCUAUAGAUUUAGUAGCGGGCACCUGCCUGUGCCUCUGUGAUAUACUGGCGAUCUCCACUUAUUGUUGGGGUUGCAGCAGUAUUUAUGUUUCCUUAAUUGGAACCCCACGGAUACCCCAUGGGAUUUCCUCCCUUUGGCUAGACAGUAUAUCCAUAUAGACAUAGAGCAUAGCCACCGUGGUCUAUUGUAAUAUUAUAGUCAGAAAUAUGAACAUGGGGAUCAAAAUUAAACCAACACCUGGGCUAAUGGAGUUUCUAGACUGGCUUUUGAUAUUAUUAAGAAGACACCAUUUUUCUCACUGUUUAUCUUUGGAGUUAAAGCAAUGUCAGCAGAAAUUCAAAUUCAAUACGCUUUAUCACGAUGUUUCCUCUUCUGUUUAAUUCUUCAUCGGGUUGCUUCCAGGGGUGAGGGAUGACUGAUAAAAUUACCAAGUACCCCACGUAAUGGACAAGUAAACAAGAAACACGAGAGGUUUGGGCACACUAUGUGAAAAUGUUACCCUUUUAUUAUAUCUUCUUCCUUUUUAAGUGAAUGAAUAUGUUAAGAUCAGCUUUACACAAAUGCUUUGAAAGCUCAAUUUUCUUAAAAUUACGUUAAUUACAAUGAAAUUAACAAGUAAAUCCCCUUUAUGUUAACUUAGUGUCAAAACAGGAUUCAUCACCUUGGACAUCAGAGGGCCCCUUCAUUGUCUUUAUUUGUACUUCCAGCAUUUGCAUUUGCUUAUCCCUUGUGCUAUUUUUAUUUUUGUCAUUGGAGUUCAUGAAGACUUAAUCAUCAGCCCUCUAAUUUUCCAGAAAAAAAAAAAUGUUGAUUUAUUGAACUGACUGCCGAAAAAGAAGAGGAAGACGAAGAUGAAGAAGAUCAAUCUGACAUUGUAGGUUAAUAGUAGGGAACAAAACACAUUCAUAAUUAGAAGAGAAAAGGACUUUCCUUGUUCAUUCCAGUUUAUAAUAAAAAGCCCCUCGCCAAAGUGUCUUAGAAAAUAAUGCAUUCAGACUGAGUCGAAUUACCGCCUAGCAGAUUCUAUUUAUCUGUAGCUUAAAAAGCAGCUGCGUUUUUGUAAAAAGCAAUGAAUGUGGCAGUCCUACUUAAAGGUAGAAGAAAAAGAACACCCCUUGUUUUGUAAUAAGGGGAUUUUCAAUUUAAAAGAGAGAGCGAGCCUGUUGUGUGAAGUACGGUUAUUACAUUCACUGUAUUCUAUCUCACCCACCAGGAGGCUAAUAAUGAAGGGCCGGGGAAGGAGGCCAGUGCUAGGAGGGUUAUCUCACUGCCUCAGAUGCUGGAUAAGUCGAAGGAAGCAGAAUCGCUUUUGGAUGACAUUCAGAAAGGCCGGAGUGAUUAUUUGGGAGAGAAAAGCCUGCCUAUUCUUUUCCAAGGUAAACAGUUCAUUUCAUCUGUUGGCUGCAUGUUUCGAUGUAAAAAUAUGUUUAUGUAAAGAUAUCUAUAAAGUUUGCCUUUAAAAAAAAAAAUCAUUUUAGGUGCGUGACUGUUCCCCUGGCCUUCCCAUCCACUGAUGAAUUAUUAGCAACGUGCCUUAGACAAAGGACGCAUGGGAGCCCCACCACACCUAGAGCCACGCUUUGAAGGAUCUGCCAAGCUCACUUUUAAUCAUGAGAAAGAAAUUACCCACAUGGAGUCAGCAGAAAAUGAGAAAGUAGAGCUCGUGCUGCGAAUAAUUCCAGCAAGUGCCAAGGGGCUAGUUGAGGAAUGGCUUCAUGAAGUGAAUAUCUUUAGCUUGUACUUAGGGUUUGGUUAGCGUAUAAUCAUUUUCUCUUUUAGGAGCGUUGACUAUCCUCAGUGUCUUUCCUCACUAAAGAGUGCUCAGAGCAUUCGUCAGGAUGUUGACAGAUUUAAUAUCAGUCUCGUCCUUGUUGUUAUUUACUAUGACUAAUUUUACAUGUGCAAAUAUGCAAAAAUCAAUUUAGGCGGAGAGGCGCUCCGGAGCCAACGACUGUUAAUCGCUGUCUGUGUGUGUGUCUCGCUUGCGAGUGGAUGUCCAGUAAUUUCUGUCUCUGUGUGUGUACGUGCCCUUGUUCUUGUCUUCUCUCCGUUGUGCCAUAGGUUGGGAGGUUUGGCCAGCCAAUGCCUUCUCAGAUGUGGCCUGAGGCUUUCAUUUGAUUUUUGGACCAGGAAAAAAAGAAUGUGUCACAUCAUGAUUAAUGGUCAAUCUGAAUUUUCAAUUCAUAUGAAAGGAGAAGGGGGAGGAGGAUAUGAGCCCAGUGAUGAGACUAACCUUUUCCCUUUGGGAAGAGCAUGAUUCAAAUUAAACAUCACUUUCAGUGUGAAAUUAGUUUGAAGGCUUCUUUUUUUUUCUCCCCCCGUGCCUGGUUUAACUCCAUGGUGGCUGCUCCUGCAGAGAGGACCCUUCCAUCCGGCCUCUGUGCCCGAAUCUGUUCCCAGUAGGCCAUAGUUCCUCUUCUUUUGUUUUAUUUUUCUAAAGACCAGGUCCAAGAAACCAAAAAAAAAAAAAAAGAAUAUUUUACUAUAAAAGCAUCAUUAUUCACAAGAUAAGAUUUUCCCCAAAACAUGUUAUUUCUUUGUGUCCCACUUAUGUUUCCAAAAAAGAAAAAUAAAUAAACAAAUAAGUAAAUAUGUAAAUAAUGUUCUUCUUUUGAGGAUAAUUUUGCCAGGGAGGAGGAAAAGGGAAAGCGAGGGAUCCUUUCCAAAGACCUUUGAGUGCCCUCUGCUUUAUGCCAGUUUCUGCUAGCCGAGUGAGCCACAUUGGAGAACAGCAACCCCAAACCCCAAGCUUUCCCUCAGUUCUCUAGUUCCCCACGUAACCGAGUCACAGGAUCGCCAUGUCAACCUGCAGCAGCUCUGGCUUCAAGCAAGCAUAUGCCGGGACAGUCUGAAACUACCCUUCAGUACCUACCAGAGACUCAGGCCCAAGCUUGUAGAAAGAACCCACUGUCCAUGGAAACGCUGGGCCGCUUGCCCAUCUGUGCACAUUCUGGAUGCCACAGUUAGGCGUCAUCAGGAUUUGAUGUUCCAUUGAUGCUCUUUCUGGAAUUUGGUGGCUUGUAGAGAAAGGACAAGUAUAGAAAAGGCCAAGAGACAGGCUCGUUCUUCCAUGUCUUUUCAAAAAGAAGAUGCUAGGGCUUUGUAAUCCCUUUCCUACAGGAAGAGAGGUGUGGUGGGGGAGGGGAAGCAGCUGGGUGGGUGAGGUAGGGGAGGGGAGGCAGCUGGGGGCAGAGGUAGAGGUGGAGUGGGGGAGGUGGAAGGUGGAGGCAGAUGAGCAGCUGUGUUUAUUUUAAUACAUAUCAUUUAACCCUCACCUAAAAACAAAUUGGAGAGGUUUGGGAGUGCAUUAAUCUGGACCCAAUUAGCAUGUCUUUCUCCUUCAAAAGUGCAACCUGAGAUUAAUGAAUAUAAAGUAGAGUUUCAGAUGCAGUGCUUAAAUCAUUUGCAUGUUUCAUGCAUGAUAAUUGAAUUUAUGUAUGCACUUCCUAUCAUUUAACUAUUUCCAGUCUCCUCCCUGUGAUUCACACAAACCAAGAUUUCGUUACAGUAACCUCCAAGUGGAAAUAACUUGCCUAGACCUUACUCCUAAUGAGGAACUCAAGUUCUUGUUUCUUUUAUUUGAAUUUGAAUCAUACGAUAUUUUUUUAAAAAGCAGAGGGAAGUUCUUAUUAGUCUGGGACACUCUUUUAGGAGGUGGUAAAUAGGCAUUCUGAGUUUAUUUUUGGAAGGCCGGAAAAUCCAUGCGAACUUAUGGCAUUGGCUUAUCAGUGGUCACAGAGAAUUGGGUUUCAGUGUGGUCACUUAUCAAUAUAUUAAUAACUCUGAGAGCAAUGUCACUUUAAUGCAGCAUAAAGAACGUUCUUGGGCUCUGGGCCUGAAGUAUUUAGAUCCCUGGGAGAUUUAGUGCACUGGAUUGUUUCUGGCAUAGACCCUGGCUUCUAUAGAUGUGGGUGGGGGGAUGGUGUCAGCCUCCAUGAAGGUCUGUAGAUGGGCAGUUAGCACUUGUGGUCUCUUAGUAUGUUGUAGGGUUUUUUUCUUUUUUUUUCUUUCUGUUUUGUUAUUUAGGUGUAGAAGGCUUAAUGCUGACUUAGUGUGAGCAGGUGCUAAGUUUCCCCCUCUCCACCUGCCCCAGAAGGAAAAGUCUGAAAGCUGGCAGUGGGCAUGGAAGAGAGCUUCCUGGGGAAGAAGGUGAAGCAAGCGGCUUAAAAUAAAUCCCCUGGUUUCAGUUCGUAUCAGUGAUUUGUCUGUCUUCUGUCUUUCCUCAUGUGUUUCCGAGUCCGAUGUCAAAGUGAUGAGCUUUUCUGCAGGAAUUCUUCCCAGUGUCCUUUGUUUUUGGUGAAUUCAAUGGUUGAGUGUCGCUGAGUGUCUCUGGUCUUGUUUCCUGGUCCUUGUAGCUAAGAAUGUCGUUGAAGGAUAAACUCUUGUUAAUUUGUGAUGUCACAAUUUAAGUGUGCUUCCUGUCACUUAUGUGUAGUUUAAAAUGUUCCUUAAUGUAGCAUGAAAUGAUUGGUUAGCUUUGAAAUGGUUGUGAAGUCAUGUGAAGAAAAUAAGUUUUGCAUCCGACCAAGAUAAAUUCACUCUAGUGCUUUAUGGCUUUUUAUUCCUAUGUGAUAGUAAUAAAGUCUCAUGUAGGGAUGGAAGCCAUGAAAUACAUUGUGAAAAAUCAUCAACUAAGAAGGGGCCAUCAGUAUAGAAAAUGGUAGCCUGUGCAGCUGUGAACAUGAUGGAGAAAUGACUUAGUGCAUAGCUCUGCUACAUGUUUGGUGUCUCUUUGAGUUUCUUUAUCCUUAGGUUUUUGACAGCUAAGGAAUCUAGGUUACAAGAGUUGAUUCAUCUUCGUAAUCAUCGAUUUACAUGCACAUUCGGGUUUGCACAUUUCUGUUUAUCAUACAUUUUUCUCCGUGUCCUAUUAUCCAAUGCGCUCUAGGAGAACUGUUAAUAGCCCACCAGUCUGGUAGGCAGCGAUCAGUCCUCCCAUGGCUUCUUUCUCCUGUGGCAGUCUUUAUUCUGACACAAAGAAGGAAUCGUUAAGUCAGACUUGACCUCUUGGAAAUGUGGUCCAGAUUGCUCUACUCCCAAGCUCCAAAAAGGUGUACAUUGCAUGGGCUAGAUCAACGCCUCCUCAGAUCCGUAAAUCCACCAGGCCAGUUCCACGUACAGGUGUAGCUCCAGUAGGGAAACACCCACUGUCGGAGAAGGAGGAGAGCUUCAGGGUGGAGUCAGGUUCUCCUCUCUGCCACUUGGAGCCCUGGGGCAAGUCUUUUCACUCUAUAUCUUUAAGAUUGGGAGAAGUAACAUGGCUGGCAAGGUUGUUGUAAGGAUUAAAUGAAGAAAUGUAUACAGGACCUAGCAAAUUAUUGAGCAUGUCGGAACAAAAAAAAAAAGCCCGUGAGAUUUGUUUUUCUAUUUUCUUCCCUUUCUUCCCACUCUCCUCCCCCUCCCCUUUCCCUGCCCUCCCCUCCCCACCCCCCCCCUUUAGACAUUGGUCCAAAAACAGAACCUUUGAGAGAGCAAAGAGUUCUUCUAGAAUGUCUAGUUGCACCUCCUUUCCAUAUGUGGCUUAAAUGCCUUGGUUGGGUUCAUAGUUUCAUUUUUUUCUAAAUGAACUAUUUUAAUGUUGAUGAUUGACCUAUUUCACUUUUCUUUUUUUCUGUACAUACAUUUUUCCUUGACCUGUUUUAAUAUUGACUAUUGACCUAUACUCUUUUUUACUGGUUUUCUGUAUUUUUUUUCAAUGAGAAUUCUAAUAAAGAUUAUUUGUGUUAU